ACCACGGUAUUUUGUGGUAGCUAUCCGCUUCGCGAGAAUAACAUGGUAUUCUUAUAGUUGCCUCGCUUGUCUCAGUAACUCAGUUCCUUCAUUGCUUGCCAAGUCUUGCCAUAUAGUGAAGAAAAGAGGUUUCUUCCUGUACAUUUGUAAGUGCCAGCUAGAGAUUUUGUUAUGUAAUAGAAGAUUAAAUGACUCACCUGUUGUCCAUAACUAUGGCCUCUUGAAAUCUCUUAGUCUGAUCAGCGGUGUAUUGCAUUGCCCCAUAGUUUGCCACCACAACUAAUAGAUCUGUUAUUAUAAACAAAAAAAAAUGUAGGUAAAACCAGUAUUUUUGCAUUCACCAUGAGUUCCAAGUAAUGAAGCUGUUAUAAAGCAUAAGCUAAUUUGAAAUAUACCAAAUUCAACACCGCAAGGCUGUUGUUCAACAUCGAGGAAGGAAAUCGUACUCAGUCUCGACGGAGGAGGUAACAGUGUCUCCUUUUCAUUAUUUUUCGGAAUAGACUCCACAAUAGUAAACCUGUCGACGACCCAUUCAAACUGGACAAUAUGUAGUGAAUAAGGCUAUGGAUUUCUAACCUUGGCAGUUGAAAUCAGAUACGUCUCGAAAAGUUCGUACAAGUUAUCACAUCAUCUAAUGUCGUCACCAUAGAGUAUUACACAAAUUUGUUCCUCCUACAAUGUUAUUUAAAAUGAUAAUGCACUAAUUAUUGGAAGAGUACAAGUGAGAAGAUCUUAUGUUACAGUUAUAAUUGUAACUUGCCUUACGUUUUCAUCCUGCACAAUUAUUGUCUAAAACCGAACUCGCUGAUCUCUGCUCUCUCUCGGCCGAAAUUUGUCUACAGCCUGAACUUUGCAAGUCCAUUCUAUAGUUGACGGUGUAAUUUCAUUGAUGGUACGUCUUUCUUCCAUUUUAUCAAUAUAACUUGUAUAUUAAUAACCGUAAAAUUGCAAGAACAAACCAUCUCACAUUACAAAUAUAAGGCAAAAGAUAUACAUAUAAUACACUUGAAAUAUUUUCCAACAGUUAAGAAUUCCUAGUGAAAGUUGGAUGUGAACUUUUUAAUCACUAUAUUUCAAAGUGCUGGAACUCCCUGCUUCACGUUCUAUAAUCUCUAUUCCUUUGAGGAAACAAAAAUAACUUGUCAAGAUAUACGUCAUACGUCAUAACAGAACAAUUGAAUAUAGCAACUUCAGAGAAGUAACAACUCAACAGUUCACACAUGUUCAUUGUUCAUGAUAAUGAGAUUUACACCAAUGACCCUAACAUCUAGCACAUUUGAGACUGUUCAAACAUGUAUACUACUAUUUAACUGUUUAAGCGUAGAAAUCGGCAAGUUUCUAGCUUCCAAAUAUGACAAAGGAUUAAGGACAUACUUCCCUAUUAGUGAAGAUUUACUCAAUCACCUUUUUUGUAUAAUCCAGUUGAUGGCAUAUCAUUUUGUUGUCAAAUAAAGAAUUUAAAAUACAACAGUAUAUCAGACAUUCUAAUUUCAUAAAGAAAAUGUAGUACACAUAGUCAUAUGAGAAGACAACAUUUACAGCUGUUAAAGUAUUAGGUGUAUAGGUAGUGGAAUGUACAGCUGGAUGCCAACUAGGCUAAGUUAGUGGAAGGUUUAGUUUGUUAAGCAGGUAGUUAGCAGCUAACUUGUUUGUAUAUAUACAUGGCUAGUGUACAGUGUUUGUAACAGAAAAUUAACAGAAAAUGAAGGAACUCUUUCUUCUCCAUUAGCAUGUAACUGCUUCUCCUUCAUUCUCAGCUUAACAACUCAGAUUAGAUCUAGGAUUUCACUAGAGUUCUUGCAUAUAUACUCCACAACAUAAUAGAGUAGCUGAGAGGAGGCACAUGUAUAUUUUGGAAGUGGCUAGGUCACUGAGGUUUCAAUCUUCUGUACCUCUCAAAUUCUGGGGUGAAUGUAUCACCACUGCUGUGCAUAUUAUAAAUAGGCUACCUUCAACAGCCCUUCAAGGCAAGUCUCAUUUUGAAGCGUUAAUUGGUCAUGUUCCUCCUUUGGACCAUAUGGGAGUGUUUGGAUGUCUAGGCUAUGUUACUGAUAUGAGACGAUCAGACAAGUUUGCUCCUAGAGCUGUUCCAGUUGUAUUUCUAGUCUAUUCUAUGACACAAAAGGGUUAAAAAAUGUAUAAUCUUUACUCUAAAGGCUUUACUGUCAGUAGAGAUGUGGUUGUCAAAGAAGAUAUCUUCCCUUUCAAAUAUGCCUCUAGUACUAUCUCCUCUAUAUUUUCUGUGCUGGAUCUCAAUAAUCCUAUUAUUUUCUCUGAGAACAAGUUAACUCCACACCAUGUUGCACCUAAUGUUGCAUCACUAGAUGAUGCAACUCCUCACAAUCACUCAAAGAGUGACUCUUCUGCACUCCAUGAGGAUGCUGUAGAGCCUUUUGUUGAUCUUCCUGCUGAUUCAGUAGUCAUCCCUGCUGAGCCAAUAUCUUCUAUAUUGCCUACUGCUGAACCUGCUGCCAGUAUAAGAUUUAACAGGGACAAUAGACCACCAAUUUAGUUGAAGGAUUAUGUUACUCACAACAAAGGCAAGGCUCAUAAUUAGUUGAUUGCAAAGUCAGGGCUUGGUGGUGCCAAAUUUGCUGGUACACCCUUGGAGACCAGUUCAAAGCUUACUUCUGUUGAGUUUGACAGUUUCAUGAACAAAGACUUUUCUAGUGAAGCUAAUGCAGAGGAUAAAGAACUAGAAAAUGCUGGACCUUAUCAGAGACUGAUUGGCAGACUUUUAUAUAUCACUAUGACUAGAAUUGAUAUCUCAUAUGUAGUGCAGGUGCUCAGCCAGUUUAUGCACAAACCUAAGCAAUCUCAUAUGGAUGCUACUUUAAGAGUAGUUAGAUACAUCAAGACUGCUCCAGGUCUUGGUCUGUUGAUGCCCUCAGAAGGCUCAGGAAGACUUGAAACUUAUUGUGACUCAGACCGGGGUGGAUGUUUGCAAACUAGAAGAUCUAUUACAGGAUAUGUAGUCAAGUCUGGCGAUGCAUUAAUAUCCUGGAAGUCAAAAAAGCAGGAGACAAUUGCUAGAAGCAGAAUUUAGGAGUAUGGCAUCAACAAUUACAGAGUUAACUUGGCUCACAUGACUGUUUUUAGAAUUAGGAGUUGAGUUGCCCCUGCCUAUAGACUUACACUAUGAUAGCAAAGCUGUAAUUCAGAUUACAGCUAAUCCUAUAUUCCAUGAAAGAACCAAACAUAUUGAUAUCGAUUGUCACUUUGUGAGGGAAAAAAUAUGCAAGGAUUGAUCAAGAAUCAUAUUGUACCUACUAAGGAGAAACAAGCUGAUUUACUAACAAAGAGUCUUGGGAAAGUGCAGCACGACUAUCUACUGUCCAAGCUGAAGUUGAAAGACUUGUUUCAACCAUCAGCUUGAGGGAGGGUGUUGAAGUAUAUUAGGUGUAUAGGUAGUGGAAUGUACAACUGGAUGCCAGCUAAGCUAAGUUAGUGGAAAGUUUAGUUUGUUAAGUAGGUAGUUAGUAGCUAACUUGUUUGUAUAUAUACAUGGCUAGUGUACAAUGUUUGUAACAGAAAAUUAACAGAAAAUGAAGGAACUCUUUCUUCUCCAUUAGCAUGUAACUGCUUCUCCUUCAUUCUCAGCUUAACAACUCAGAUUAGAUCUAGGAUUUCAUCAAUAACAUAUUUAUAGUAGAGGGAGGCAGUAUAUAAAGAAGCGAAUAAGU
rnacentral:lncRNA from 1 species